rnacentral:lncRNA from 1 species
GAGAUUGUUCCCUUUUACAUGGAGGUGGUCUUGUGCUAUGCAUGGGUUAGUCCGUUUACGUUAAUCUGAUGGUAUAACUUCGACAUUAUAAGUUAUAUGUAUAUUUUUUUUAAUUUAAUUGUUUUUUUUUUUGGAUAAAAGAUAACAACAUUAUUAUUAACUGAUCAAAUUAACAUAGACCAAAUUACAUCCUGGUCAGCGUCUCAGUGACCCAAUGCUUACACAAUCCUGUUGCAGUCUGCUCUUGAACCGAGCAAGAUUGUGCUCCCCUUGUGCGCUCAUCGUACUUCCCAUCCCUUUGAGAGCAGUGGGUCGCUAAAGCUUCGAAGUUUUUUUUUUUUUUUUUUAUGAUAAAAUCAUAAUGUCAAAUCCAAAAAUACAACUUCAUCAGCAUACGUUAAAAGUACCGGCAGGUAAAUUUUUCCCAUAAGAAAAUAACCUUGCAUGAAAACUUACACAAAUCACAAAAAAAAUCCCAGCAAAGCCCCCACAGUAGAGCCACCAAGAGUCUGCAACUCCCAUCACGAAAAAACAAUAAACUGUACCAUUGUCAUCCUUGUAGUAGUCCAACCACGCGUGUACUGAAGCUGAAAUAUCCGUGUUGCUGCUACAUCUCUUUGCCUCCAAAUUGUACCUGGAUUGCUUCUUGCUAUUAUCAUUAUUCAGUCAUAAUACUCUCCCAAUCCAGUAACAGGUCCUUGAACUACAGAUUUUGUCUCAAUUUCAAGCUCUUCUCUUCAUGCAUAACCACACAAUUUCUUUAAUGUGACCCAACAUUUUAUUCUUUAGCAUUCUUUCAUCAUUAACACUACAGAAUCAUAUUUUUCCACACACACUUGACCACUGCGAAUUUUCCAAAUUGCAUGAGCUACCCCCUUACCUUCAGUUCAGGCCAUAUGACAGUAGCACUUCUCAGUAUUCUUUGUGAAGGAUUACAAAUGAUUGUGGAUUGAUAAGCUUCAUCCAUAAAGCGAUCACUUCUCAAUAUUCUCGACUCCCUCCUUCAUCUAUAAGCCUUCCAACUACAUUUAGCAUAACGUUAACUUGAUCAGGUGCUUCUUAUUUUAAACUGAGUAGCAGCUUGUAUAUCAAUAAUUGCUUACCAAUGACAGUAGCACAAAGAACAAUUUACGUAUGGAUUUUGAGCAAACAGGAAGAACAUAACACUCGAGGGACAUGUUCUCACAUUCUUCUUAUAAAAAAAAAGUACAUCUUGAUGAAUUAAAUCAUUAUUUUAAACAAACUAAAUCCUUACCAUUGCAACCCUUUUCCCAAUUUGUAAGAAGGGACUCAAUCCGGAAAGAUGAGCUCUGCAAGCCUUCUUCCCAAGUCAUUUGGCUGAAACCUCUGUAAUUGCAUUGUGAAAUUGAUGUAUCUUACUCCAGUGUCACUACUUCAUUACAGAUAAGAAAGC